AGAUUGAACGCUGGCGGAAUGCUUUACACAUGCAAGUCGAACGGCAGCACGGGACUCAGGCAACUGAGCCCUGGUGGCGAGUGGCGAACGGGUGAGUAACAUAUCGGAACGUGCCCAGUCGUGGGGGAUAACGCAGUGAAAGCUGUGCUAAUACCGCAUACGAUCUAUGGAUGAAAGCGGGGGACUCGCAAGAGCCUCGCGCGAUUGGAGCGGCCGAUAUCAGAUUAGCUAGUUGGUAGGGUAAAGCCCACCAAGGCGACGAUCUGUAGCUGGUCUGGAGAGGACGACCAGCCACACUGGAACUGAGACACGGUCCAGACUCCGUAGGGAGCAGGCUAGGUGGGGAAUUUUGGACUAAGUGGGCGCAAGCCUAGACUCCGAGCAAGUCGCCG
rnacentral:rRNA from 1 species